CACGAGCGCACCCUUAUCCUUAUUUGCCAGCACGUAAUGGUGGGAACUCUAAGGAGACUGCCGGUGAUAAACCGGAGGAAGGUGGGGACGACGUCAAGUCAUCAUGGCCCUUACGAGUAGGGCUACACACGUGCUACAAUGGCGCAUACAAAGGGCUGCAAACCAGCGAUGGUAAGCGAAUCCCAUAAAGUGCGUCGUAGUCCGGAUUGGGGUCUGCAACUCGACCCCAUGAAGUCGGAAUCGCUAGUAAUCGUGAAUCAGAAUGUCACGGUGAAUACGUUCCCGGGCCUUGNACACACCGCCCGU
rnacentral:rRNA from 1 species